AGUCGAGCGGAUGACAGGAGCUUGCUCCUGAAUUCAGCGGCGGACGGGUGAGUAAUGCCUAGGAAUCUGCCUGGUAGUGGGGGACAACGUUUCGAAAGGAACGCUAAUACCGCAUACGUCCUACGGGAGAAAGCAGGGGACCUUCGGGCCUUGCGCUAUCAGAUGAGCCUAGGUCGGAUUAGCUAGUUGGUGAGGUAAUGGCUCACCAAGGCGACGAUCCGUAACUGGUCUGAGAGGAUGAUCAGUCACACUGGAACUGAGACACGGUCCAGACUCCUACGGGAGGCAGCAGUGGGGAAUAUUGGACAAUGGGCGAAAGCCUGAUCCAGCCAUGCCGCGUGUGUGAAGAAGGUCUUCGGAUUGUAAAGCACUUUAAGUUGGGAGGAAGGGCAUUAACCUAAUACGUUAGUGUUUUGACGUUACCGACAGAAUAAGCACCGGCUAACUCUGUGCCAGCAGCCGCGGUAAUACAGAGGGUGCAAGCGUUAAUCGGAAUUACUGGGCGUAAAGCGCGCGUAGGUGGUUUGUUAAGUUGGAUGUGAAAUCCCCGGGCUCAACCUGGGAACUGCAUUCAAAACUGACAAGCCAGAGUAUGGUAGAGGGGUGGGGUGGGAAUUUCCUGUGUAGCGGUGAAAUGCGUAGAUAUAGGAAGGGAACACCAGUGGCGAACGCGACCACCUGGACUGAUACUGACACUGAG
rnacentral:rRNA from 1 species